rnacentral:rRNA from 1 species
UACGAAGGGGGCUAGCGUUGCUCGGAAUCACUGGGCGUAAAGCGCACGUAGGCGGAUUGCUAAGUCAGGGGUGAAAUCCUGGAGCUCAACUCCAGAACUGCCUUUGAUACUGGCGAUCUUGAGUCCGGGAGAGGUGAGUGGAACUGCGAGUGUAGAGGUGAAAUUCGUAGAUAUUCGCAAGAACACCAGUGGCGAAGGCGGCUCACUGGCCCGAUACUGACGCUGAGGCACGAAAGCGUGGGGAGCAAGCAGG